rnacentral:rRNA from 1 species
GACGAACCGAGCGAACGUUGUUCGGAAUCACUGGGCUUAAAGGGCGCGUAGGCGGGCCAUCAAGUCGAGGGUGAAAGCCCCCAGCUUAACUGGGGAAGUGCCUCCGAUACUGGUGGUCUCGAGGGAGAUAGGGGCGUGCGGAACUUCCGGUGGAGCGGUGAAAUGCGUAGAUAUCGGAAGGAACACCGGUGGCGAAAGCGGCGCGCUGGAUCUCUUCUGACGCUGAGGCGCGAAAGCCAGGGGAGCGGAACGG